rnacentral:lncRNA from 1 species
GGAAAUCAUCUCUUCUACCAACUUCAACAUGGUUCCAGGUAUUCGCUCUCCUUCUUGAUCAAUCUCCCGCAUAAUUUGCUCAACAAUCUCAAUCUUUGACUGUUUGUUUUUGAUGACAUAGCCAGAGCAGUCCCUUAGUAGUAGCAGUAGCUCUCUAGCCAUUUCUUUAGCCCUCCGUGUCCCGUCUACGCUCACUUGAAGCAAUCCAGGCAUCACUCCUUCUCUAAGUAUCAUUCCUCGGUUUGUCUCUCUGUCGUUGUUGCAUAUACCAAGUAGUAUUCCCACGGCAUGCUCUUUACACUGUGCUGACCCUUCUUCAAUGGCUUCCACCAGAACCCCAAUUGCUCCACCGAUGCUGGAAACAGAUUCUGGUGAAUGAGAAAUUAUGUUUUCAAGCAAAG